GGCGGCUGCUAUACAUGCAGUCGAGCGGACAGAUGGGAGCUUGCUCCCUGAUGUUAGCGGCGGACGGGUGAGUAACACGUGGGUAACCUGCCUGUAAGACUGGGAUAACUCCGGGAAACCGGGGCUAAUACCGGAUGCUUGUUUGAACCGCAGGUUCAAACAUAAAAGGUGGCUUCGGCUACCACUUACAGAUGGACCCGCGGCGCAUAGCUAGUUGGUGAGGUAAUGGCUCACCAAGGCGACGAUGCGUAGCCGACCUGAGAGGGUGAUCGGCCACACUGGGACUGAGACACGGCCCAGACUCCUACGGGAGGCAGCAGUAGGGAAUCUUCCGCAAUGGACGAAAGUCUGACGGAGCAACGCCGCGUGAGUGAUGAAGGUUUUCGGAUCGUAAAGCUCUGUUGUUAGGGAAGAACAAGUACCGUUCGAAUAGGGCGGUACCUUGACGGUACCUAACCAGAAAGCCACGGCUAACUACGUGCCAGCAGCCGCGGUAAUACGUAGGUGGCAAGCGUUGUCCGGAAUUAUUGGGCGUAAAGGGCUCGCAGGCGGUUUCUUAAGUCUGAUGUGAAAGCCCCCGGCUCAACCGGGGAGGGUCAUUGGAAACUGGGGAACUUGAGUGCAGAAGAGGAGAGUGGAAUUCCACGUGUAGCGGUGAAAUGCGUAGAGAUGUGGAGGAACACCAGUGGCGAAAGCGACUCUCUGGUCUGUAACUGACGCUGAGGAGCGAAAGCGUGGGGAGCGAACAGGAUUAGAUACCCUGGUAGUCCACGCCGUAAACGAUGAGUGCUAAGUGUUAGGGGUUUCCGCCCCUUAGUGCUGCAGCUAACGCAUUAAGCACUCCGCCUGGGGAGUACGGUCGCAAGACUGAAACUCAAAGGAAUGACGGGGGCCCGCACAAGCG
rnacentral:rRNA from 1 species